AGUGAACGCUGGCGGUAGGCCUAACACAUGCAAGUCGAACGGCAGCACAGGAGAGCUUGCUCUCUGGGUGGCGAGUGGCGGACGGGUGAGGAAUACAUCGGAAUCUACUUUUUCGUGGGGGAUAACGUAGGGAAACUUACGCUAAUACCGCAUACGACCUACGGGUGAAAGCAGGGGACCUUCGGGCCUUUCGCGAUUGAAUGAGCCGAUGUCGGAUUAGCUAGUUGGCGGGGUAAAGGCCCACCAAGGCGACGAUCCGUAGCUGGUCUGAGAGGAUGAGCAGACACACUGGAACUGAGACACGGUCCAGACUCCUACGGGAGGCAGCAGUGGGGAAUAUUGGACAAUGGGCGCAAGCCUGAUCCAGCCAUACCGCGUGGGUGAAGAAGGCCUUCGGGUUGUAAAGCCCUUUUGUGGGGAAAGAAAUCCAGCUGGCUAAUACCCGGUUGGGAUGACGGUACCCAAAGAAUAAGCACCGGCUAACUUCGUGCCAGCCGCCGCGGUAA
rnacentral:rRNA from 1 species